GAUGGACGCUAGCUACAGGCUUAACACAUGCAAGUCGAGGGGCAGCAUGGUCUUAGCUUGCUAAGGCCGAUGGCGACCGGCGCACGGGUGAGUAACACGUAUCCAACCUGCCGUCUACUCUUGGACAGCCUUCUGAAAGGAAGAUUAAUACAAGAUGGCAUCAUGAGUCCACAUGUUCACAUGAUUAAAGGUAUUCCGGUAGACGAUGGGGAUGCGUUCCAUUAGAUAGUAGGCGGGGUAACGGCCCACCUAGUCUUCGAUGGAUAGGGGUUCUGAGAGGAAGGUCCCCCACAUUGGAACUGAGACACGGUCCAAACUCCUACGGGAGGCAGCAGUGAGGAAUAUUGGUCAAUGGGCUAGAGCCUGAACCAGCCAAGUAGCGUGAAGGAUGACUGCCCUAUGGGUUGUAAACUUCUUUUAUAAAGGAAUAAAGUCGGGUAUGCAUACCCGUUUGCAUGUACUUUAUGAAUAAGGAUCGGCUAACUCCGUGCCAGCCGCCGCCGUAA
rnacentral:rRNA from 1 species